GGUAAUAAACAUAGUUGCAUCUAUACCAAACAAGUAUUAUCUGAAACGAUACGUAACAAAGCUCAUACCAUCGGUGCCCUAAUUUUGAAUCGAUACGUAUGAAACAGAGUCUAUCCGUCUGCGAUUGAACAACAACCAAAUUCCGUCCGGAGAUUGGAGCUAUAAAUCGACUGAAUCUAUCUCGAUUGGAGCUAGAAGUCAAUUGAAUCUGUUUCGAUUGGAAUUAUGCGAUUGAAAACCUAGAUUUGAACACCGAAUCUCAUAAGAAUACUGAAUAUUUGGAGAAUAAUUGAAGAUUAAGUUCUAUUGGAAGGAAUCAUUUAUGAAGAAAUCAGAAUCGUUAACGGAGAUUAUGUCCAUCGGUUUCUCUCUUUUCAUCUAUAACAUCAGGAAGGUCGGAGUAGUUAAAGGCGCACACAAGUCGCUAAGGACUCCGGGGACAACACAAUAAUACUUUAUGUGGUUUUGCACAAUAUGCCUAGGCCUUACCUUGCCUGGGCUCCUAGGUUUGCAGGAGUACUUCCAUGAGAAAGACUUUUUGAAUCAUCAAGAAGUAUUUGGAAUCUUCUUCCAUAGCUAAAAAAGUAGAAUGGUCCUUUCAAAACGUGCUGGGAAGUAUGCUUGACUUCUAAGGUUAAUUCCAACAACAGAAUCCCAUUUUAUUGUCCAAGAGUUGAACAUAGAGCUCAACAAUCUUCAUACCUUGAGCGAAGGUGUUUCUAAUGCUACCCCUAUGUACAACAAAAGUGUAUUAGAGAACAUGUUUAUGGGACAUGGUGCAGAAUUUGUUAAAAUGGCUUUCUUAGGAUGAAGGCCUUACAGGAGGCUUUAGUUUUGCUUAAGGUAUGGGCUCGACAAAGAACUUCUUUGAACAUUUAUGGUUCUGUGAAUGGGUACCUUAUAUCUCAAUCCUAAUGGCUUACCUUGCAUCAGAAUUUUGUAAAGCUCGUCUUAACAACGCAAUGACAGUAAUGCAUAUCUUUCGUAUCACAUUGGGCUUUAUUCUCUAAUUGAAAGGGGGUGGGGGUACUUGGAGCGACGUAUGAUCUUCAUGGGUCAGACAUCACUACUGAGGUUUCUGAUGAUCCAGAGAUAUGGGCUCAUGUGUGGCAGGAGGUAGCAGGGACAGGGUAUAUGAGCCAGUGGGAGUAAUCAGUGUUGAAUCUCAUUUGGACAAAUUUGUUAGUUGUGUGGUGAAUUUAAAACAGGUUUUAUAAUUUUUUUGGUGAUUUUUUUUGCAUUAUUUAGUAGAAUGGGAUCUGUCUUUUCUUUUAGCUUUUUUUAUUUAUUUUUAUUUUUUUUAUUU
rnacentral:lncRNA from 1 species